GCGCCCAUUCCCACCCUCUCCGACCAGCGCCACGCCACGAUCCCCGACCAGCACCACGCCACGCCACGCCACCAUCGCAGCAGCAAAAGAAGGUCGCGCGCAGCUGCAGAGUUAGAGGAAGGUUGCGCGCAGCUGCUGGUCGCACCCAGCAGCAGGAGGUCGCGCCGCCUCCAUUCCGACCGGCGCCGACUUGGACUUUGGUCCUGAGGAUCCAGAUCAAUAUAAGUAUUAUGAGUACUAAUAGUAGUUUUACCUGACUUACUUUGCUGCUGUUGUUGUGUGGAGGUUGUUGCCUUGUCCUGAGAUGAGGUAGGUCGGUCCUCAAUAUUGUAAUUGGCCUUGUUAUGUUUCUUUCUUGUUAUUUGCCACUGCUCUUCCUGUUGAGUGUUAGAUUGCUCUGUUUGUUGCUGUUGACCUGUGCCCUUUGUAUUAUUGCUGUUAACAGUGGUAUUAUUGCCCUGUUUUGUGUCAUGUUAACAUGAUCAUGAUUCUCCUUU
rnacentral:lncRNA from 1 species